GGACGGACAGCAAAGCUAACAGUGUUCUUUUGUUGUUUAACAUGGACUUCAUAUAUGCCUGAUUUUUAGGAGCUCAUCACAACGGGACAGCAUACAUUUCACAUACACAAGGGUCAAUAAGCUGUCCAGAAAUACCUACAGCAGCGGGAGCAAUAAGACCAAGCCUUACAUUAGACCUGAGACAGAGUACGCAGCGUGUCAAGAACCGGGGCCAUCCAGAAUAACACAGACCAAUGUGUGAGUGUAGUCAUAAAUAAAUCAAAAGACCCAAACAUAUCCUGUUGUUUUGAAAUGAUACACUGUGUGUGUGUGUGUGUGUGUGUGUGUGUGUGUGUGUACGGGUUCGUACUAUCCUGGUGGGGACCAAAAUCUGACAUUUACUAUCCUGGUGGGGACUUUCUGCACCGUGGGGACCAAAAUCCAGGUCCCCUCGGGGUUGAAAGCAAUUUUCACACUCAAAAUGCGGUUUUACUGUCAGGGUUACAAUUAGGUUAUGGUUAGGUUUAGGGUAAGGGUUAGGGUUAGGCAUUCAUUUUUAAUGGUUAGGGUUAGGGUAAGGGGCUAGGGAAAGCAUUAUGUCAAUGGGAUGUCCCCACGAAGAUAGCAAACCAGACGUGUGUGUGUGUGUGUGUGUGUGUGUGUGUGUGUGUGUGUGUGUGUGUGUGUGUGUGUGUUUAACACACGUCUAUCUCCACAGCAAUCACACAACCCCUUCCCACGAUGCGGACCAUGACGACCCCUUGAUGCUUUUGGAAUAUAUACGCGAUAUUGAACUCCCAGAACAACAAGAAAAACCACAAGCUUUGUGCAACAAUGGAGACUAAGAACCAUUCUUCAUCACCGGACCAUACAUACACGCGAGUGCCUGCCUUGUGAUUUCAGCGAUAUUCCUGAGUACAGCCUAUCAGAUUUCAAUAUAGUUGACAUACCCACUACGCCAGAAUGUCUCAGAAACAACAGUGAUACAGACAUAGGUUUUGAAGAAGGCUGCAUAACAGACUCGCAAAUAUCACAGACAUAUAACGCAUACUUAAAUGCAGCAAACACCUCUAAUUUUGAUCAGAGCCAUUCUGCUUCAAACAACGAUAUACUAUCUUUGAUCGAUGCUAAACUCAGCCAACAUCAACAAGCAGUACAGAGGGAUGUGCAAGAAAUAGCAGCUAAAGUCAGCCAACAUCAAGAAGCAGCACAGGGGGACUUGCAAUUAAUAGCAGUGGCUCUAACUAGUACCCAGCAGGCAAUAAACAAUACCUGGGGUUUAUUAGAUCUCAUUAGUACCAGAUUGUUAAAUCACUGACUUUUAAAGUCUACACCAUGGACCCACCCUGUAAAUUAUUCAAACACAAUGAUGGUACCUCCACUCGAGCUAAAUGGUUUCACUUUGAGGCUUUUAACCAGUGGGCUGCGCAAAUAAUAAACAAAUGCGAAGUUUUGCAUGCAAGACUUAGUAGUGUCGCUGUAGCAGACAGUCCUGUGUCUAAUGCACGUCCUUGUCCAACUCAUUCUGAAGCUGUUGCCGAUGAUGCUGUUUAUAUCGAUGUUGUUGCUCAUGCAACCGAUUCACAUCCAGAUAUGCUGCUGCUGCCGCUGCUGUAGGGACUGUUGUUACUCAGGCUACCGCUGAUUGUCUUAUUGCUGAGGCUUCUGUCACAGCUGAUCGGGAGUGUGCACCUGGCGUACAUGCGUAUCUGGGUGCCGCUACAGCUGCUGCUGACGCAUCACCACACAACCCCUC
ensembl:lncRNA